UCAUGAGUCCCGAGUCCUUAUCACCAUUUUGCUCCCUCUGAUUCUCCGUAGUCUGAAUCCUGCAACCCGUAUUUGGUACCGGGCCCAUAGUAAACCCUUCCUAAACCCACCGUAUACCAGACUGAAACGAACUCGCUUCACUGAUACCAAACGCGCGCAUAGAGAUGGACUCUUCGUCGUCGUCGUCGUCGGCACCGGCGUCAAAAGCGCACUUAGCUCUAGCAGCCUUCUUCGGAGCAUCGGUGAUGGCAAUCUCCGCCUUCUACCUCCACAGGCGCAGCCUCGACCAAGCUCUCGACCGCAUAAUCAAGCUCCUCCGCCACCAGCGUCCGCUGUCCUCCGCCGCAUCUGCUCUGGAAUCCGGCACCGAUGACGAAGCCGAAGCCGAUGACGUCCACGAUAGGAACAUCUGGAGCCAUCAGAGUUUGCCGAAAACCGUUGCUCAGAAUGAGGAUGAUUCAGACGAGAAGGUGUUGCGGAAAUACAGAGUGUCGUCAUCCAUGCCUAACGCGCGCCUUGCGAACGACUGGAUGGACGAGGACGCGAAACUUGAUCGGCCGUCGCAAUAUGGCGAUAAGGCGUUCUCGGCUGAACUGAUGGAGCUCAGUACGGUACCUUCUGGUUUGCCCCCUCUGCGAACGGAUAACCGAGACGGGGAGAACCAACACAAUGAUGGUUUUGAUAGGAAGAUGCGUGUGGGCUCAGUUGGUAGGCAAAUGACUCCAAAAUCCUCAGUUAUUUAUUCAUUAGAUGGUGAUCUCCAGGAUGAUGAAGAAACUGAAUUCACUCAAGAGGAUAUUGAAUUCCUCUAUGAGAAUGAUAACAGUCCAAAUGUUCAAAAUAUCUCAAUCAUCGAAUCACAAGCAGAAAAUGGUAAUCAGCUUCAUGGUCAACCACAUAAAGCAAUUACCGAUGAUGCAAAAACUAAUAUAGACCAUCAUGAUAGAAAGGUGGAUGCAGUUCCGGGACACAUUAAGGGGACUGAUCAGGUCUUCGUAAAUGGUAUCUUACCUCAAGUGACUACAGUGCAUGAGCCAGUUAACAUUGAAGAGGAGGAGGUUUUGAAGAUGAUCCGUGAAAGUUUAUAUUUGAGAAAAAAGUAUGUUUUCAAAGAAAAUAUUUCUCCAUGGAUGAAGGCAACUUCUGGAGAAUCAAAUGUCAAACAGGAUCCGUUUCAGUUUGUUCCUUGUGAAGCAACUGGUCACUAUUUUAAGAUGGUGGAUGGAGUUGUUCGUGUUUAUGCCAGUGAAAAUGAUACUGAAGAGCUUUUUCCUGUUGCAAACUCGACAACAUUUUUCACUGAUAUGCACCAUCUUCUAAAAGUGAUGGCUGCUGGUAGUGUUCGUACUGCUUGUCAUCAUAGGUUGCGAUUGCUUGAGGAGAAAUUUCGCCUCCAUUUGCUAGUAAAUGCUGAUAGGGAAUUUUUAGCACAAAAGAGUGCACCUCAUCGUGAUUUCUACAACAUCAGAAAAGUUGAUACCCACGUGCAUCAUUCUGCUUGUAUGAACCAGAAGCAUCUCCUCCGGUUCAUCAAGUCAAAACUAGAAAAAGAACCUGAUGAGGUUGUUAUAUUUCGUGAUGGGCAGUAUCUUACGCUGAAGGAAGUCUUUGAGAGUUUGGACUUAACAGGGCAUGAUCUUAAUGUUGAUUUGCUGGAUGUUCAUGCUGAUAAGAGUACAUUCCAUCGUUUUGACAAAUUCAACCUCAAGUAUAAUCCUUGUGGACAAAGCAGGCUCAGAGAGAUAUUUCUCAAGCAGGACAACCUUAUCCAAGGUCGCUUCCUAGGUGAAGUGACAAAGGAAGUCUUGUCAGAUCUUGAAGCAAGUAAAUACCAGAUGGCUGAAUAUAGAAUUUCAGUUUAUGGAAGGAAACAAAGUGAAUGGGAUCAAUUAGCUAGUUGGUUCAUAAACAAUGGCAUUUAUAGUGAGAAUGCUGUUUGGUUGAUUCAGUUACCACGGCUAUACAAUGUCUACAGGAGCAUGGGAACUGUUACAUCCUUCCAGAAUAUUUUGGAUAAUGUAUUCAUUCCACUCUUUGAAGUCACUGUUGAUCCAAAUUCGCAUCCUCAAUUGCAUUUGUUCCUAAUGCAGGUUGUGGGUUUUGACAUUGUUGAUGAUGAAAGUAAACCAGAAAGGCGGCCAACCAAACACAUGCCAACCCCAGCUGAAUGGACAAAUGUGUUCAAUCCUGCAUUCUCUUAUUAUGCCUAUUACUGUUAUGCCAACUUGUUCACACUCAAUAAGCUUCGUGAAUCAAAAGGAUUGCCAACAAUCAGAUUUCGACCUCAUUGUGGGGAGGCAGGCGAAAUUGACCAUUUAGCUGCUGGAUUUCUUUUAUGUCAUAACAUUUCUCAUGGAAUCAAUUUGCGCAAAUCACCCGUUUUACAGUAUCUGUACUUCCUUGCUCAGAUUGGGCUGGCAAUGUCUCCUCUAAGUAACAAUUCACUUUUCCUGGACUACCAUCGCAACCCUUUUUAUAUGUUCUUCCAGCGUGGGUUGAAUGUUUCGCUUUCAACUGAUGACCCUUUGCAAAUUCAUUUGACAAAGGAGCCCCUUGUUGAAGAAUACAGUGUUGCAGCUAAAGUUUGGAAGCUGAAUGCAUGCGACCUUUGUGAGAUCGCAAGGAAUUCUGUUUACCAGUCGGGAUUUUCACACGCAGACAAGUUGCAUUGGCUUGGGAACCAAUAUUACAAGAGAGGCCCCGAAGGAAAUGACAUUCACAAGACCAAUGUACCUAACAUGAGGAUUUCCUUUAGACACGAUACCUGGAUGGAAGAGAUUCUGUAUGUAUAUCGAGGAAAAGCAGAAUUUUGCGAGGAAGUAGACCAUUGAUCCAAAGCCUGCUUUAACCAGUAAACGAUCUCUGCAUCUCAGCAUCUGGCCAUUUAUGAGUGCGUGCAAGAUCUCUGCCUGCGAUUAUUGGAGUUCACAAGGAUCCAGAUGCAUCAUGGAACAUUAGAUGGAAUUCCUUUGAAGCUGCAGAUGAUGGAGGCGUGGAGCUAAGUAAUUAUACAACUUUUUCUAUCUUCUAGUUGCCAAGUUGGUGAUAAGGAGAAUAAUUCAGUGUAUAUAUGCCCCACGCAGUGAACUAAACUUUUCGCAAAAAUUCCAUUUUUUUUUCUCCUUGAAAACUUAUUAACGUAGGAUGUGAUAUUGUGAGCGCAGUCACGUUCACUGUGAGCAAAAUCAAGUUAUUGGCACUAA